rnacentral:rRNA from 1 species
AUUGAACGCUGGCGGCAUGCCUUACACAUGCAAGUCGAACGGUAACAGGUCUUCGGAUGCUGACGAGUGGCGAACGGGUGAGUAAUACAUCGGAACGUGCCCGAGAGUGGGGGAUAACGAGGCGAAAGCUUUGCUAAUACCGCAUACGAUCUCAGGAUGAAAGCAGGGGACCGCAAGGCCUUGCGCCCACGGAGCGGCCGAUGGCAGAUUAGGUAGUUGGUGGGAUAAAAGCUUACCAAGCCGACGAUCUGUAGCUGGUCUGAGAGGACGACCAGCCACACUGGGACUGAGACACGGCCCAGACUCCUACGGGAGGCAGCAGUGGGGAAUUUUGGACAAUGGGCGCAAGCCUGAUCCAGCCAUGCCGCGUGCAGGAUGAAGGCCUUCGGGUUGUAAACUGCUUUUGUACGGAGCGAAAAGACUCCUUCUAAUAAAGGGGGUCCAUGACGGUACCGUAAGAAUAAGCACCGGCUAACUACGUGCCAGCAGCCGCAGUAACAC